rnacentral:rRNA from 1 species
GAUGAACGCUGGCGGCGUGCUUAAUACAUGCAAGUCGAACGAGGUGCUUUUGUAGCAAUACGGAAGUAUCCUAGUGGCGAAUGGGUGAGUAACGCGUUGGUGACCUACCCCGAAGUGUGGGAUAACAGUCCGAAAGGAUUGCUAAUACCGCAUGUGGUCCCCGGGUUUAGAAACCGGUGACUAAAGCAGUAAUGCGCUUUGGGAGGGACCUGCGUCCCAUCAGCUAGUUGGUGAGGUAACGGCUCACCAAGGCGUCGACGGGUAAGGGACCUGAGAGGGUGGUCCCUCACAAUGGCACUGAAACACGGGCCAUACACCUACGGGUGGCAGCAGUAGGGAAUAUUGGGCAAUGGGCGAAAGCCUGACCCAGCAACGCCGCGUGUACGAUGAAGGCCUUCGGGUCGUAAAGUACUUUUCUGGGAGAUGAGAAAGGACAGUAUCCCAGGAAUAAGCUUCGGCUAACUACGUGCCAGCAGCCGCCGUAAUAC